GUGUUUGCAUCGACUUACAUAUCUUUCUCGUGUAUUUACUCAGUUGACUUGGCCGAGCCAUCACUUGAAAAAGAUCUGGUUUUAUGUUGAUAAGGUAUGUUAGGCUGUUCUCAAUUCAUAGUGAGCAAUAUAUGUAAUUUUUAUUAUGGUGAAGAUAAUGUUUCUAAUGGAUGGAUUUUUAUUCAUCAGAGUCUAAACUUAUAAGUCUGUUCUCGAGAAAUCCAUAGUGUUGACUAAUUUUGAUUUGCUCCAGGUAAGUGCUUAUAUGAAAGAUGUUGAUAUUCUCAUUGAUGCCAUGGAGAUUUUGUAAGUGUAGCAGAACUUAUUAUCUUAGUUGUCUUAAUAGCAUAACUAUCCUUUGAUCUAUCCUGUCAAAUUUUAGAAACUUAUUGUAUCAUUGAUAAGAAAAAAUGUUGAUUUUACUUCUGUGAGGCAGAGAAGGAAGAGUGUAUUAAUCAUUAACUCG
rnacentral:lncRNA from 1 species